UGUCCGGAAACUGUUUCCCAACCAGUAUACAUGUGUGAAACUGGGUCAGAGAAAACAUGUAGUUAUUGCUCUGAAUAUACGCGGAUAUUUAAAGUACAUGGCGGACUUAUUGGUUGUUAUGGACAACCUCCAGCAGUAUGAGAUAUAAAGGUUCACUGCAGUUUUGACUGUGCUCAACAAGUACUGUAGACAUACAAUGCUCAGCAAGUGGAGUUGCUGUGAGUUCUCAUGCAGGCUCUCAGAUUUUCUACCUAGUGUAUGAAAAGUACAGUACUGCUGUUGGAAGAGGAGCAUCAUGGCUAUGGAUAAAAGAAGGUUUCAUUACAUAUGGACAAUUAUAUUGGACAAAAUAAGAAAAGUGUUCUAAUAAGGUAAGAAUUUCCAAAAAAUAAAGAAAUAUUUAAAGCUCACAGAACUUGAUGUUGAAAUAUUUAAUUUCACAGUGUGAUCAUACACUUCAGUUUGGAGAGUCACUGGUUUCCAGUUUAUAUAUAUAAUGUGCAUAAUUUUAUGUAAAUGAAACAUCAUAUCUCCACUGAUAAACAUUGAUUUACAAUCUGAAUAUUGCAUACUUGCAUAACAU